rnacentral:sRNA from 1 species
CAGCGAUACAGCUACUGCCCGUGCUACA